CUUUCACGUGCAUCCCAGGUUAAAUUUUUUGUCCUUCUCCUAAUUUGUCGAGAAGAACCAAACAGGAAAAGAUGGUGCAGAGAAAGCUCACGGUUUCGGUUUUAGCGGAAAGUGAGAGUGGCGGCGGCAACGGAACGGCGUCGUUGGCCAAAGGGCAGUGCCUGUGUUCUCCAACGACACACGAAGGCUCCUUCCGGUGUCGUUUACAUCGCUCAGUCACAGCUUCAUCGUCUCCACCUUCCUGGAUGAAACGCUCCAAGUCCAAAUAACAACGCUGUCGUUUCAUGUCUCUCUCUGUCUCUUCCUGUCUGUGCUGUUUUUAUGUUUAUCACAGCUUCACAACAUGCCUAUGUAAGUGGUUAAGUUACUCAUACUAGUACUGUUACACAGAGAGAUAAUUAAUAAUUAUUUAAUUAAUUAAUGCUUUGGUGGAUCCACUAAUCACUCUUUUCUCCACAAUCGUAGUUCUUCUGUCUCACAACCAUCCACAUAAUUCAUCUGAAAAAUUAAGGAAUUUUUUUUUCUCUUUUUUCGUUUUCUGGGUAUGAAUUUAAACGGUCAUGAAGUUCUUGAUAAAAUUAAGGAACAAAACAUGUAGGUUGUUUUUGUAUUCCUAAACUAGAGAGAUUGUUGAUCUGAAAUGGUGUAAUUAAGUACUUAGAAUAAUUCUUGUUAAUAAUAUAGGCCAGAUUUAGAUCUGUAAUUUGGCCACCCCAGAUUUGAUUUGGAUAACAAGCGGAUACAAGGCUGUUGCAAAUUUUACUUUGUAGCAUGAUCCAUAAUUCUGUUCACGUGUUUUCAUCUGUUGUUUUCUCUGAGGUAGUAGAUUCCUCAGGACUGAAGAGAGAGAGAAAUAAAAAGAAUAUAUUUUGUCUUUAUUUUUCUUUUUAGAUAAGAUCUCUGCGUUUUCAUAUAUGGUUUUUAUCUUAGUCU
rnacentral:sRNA from 1 species